UUUUUGAUGUUGAAAGACCCCCAGAGUGGGGAGACCCUCACUCAAGUCUCGGGAUAAGCCAACGCCCCAAUAAUUCAAGAGAGACC
rnacentral:pre_miRNA from 11 species